rnacentral:sRNA from 1 species
CCACCUCGCUUGUAUAUUUUUUGAGCUGUGAUAGUGUCCGGCUACGCCUCAACUUACCGAGGCCUGUGAAAAACCCCGUCUUUUUGUGGCGGGGUUUUGCUUUUUU